rnacentral:rRNA from 1 species
AACGAACGCUGGCGGCAGGCCUAACACAUGCAAGUCGAGCGAGGACUUCGGUUCUAGCGGCGGACGGGUGAGUAACGCAUGGGAAUGUGCCCUUCUCUACGGAAUAGCCCUGGGAAACUGGGAGUAAUACCGUAUACGCCCUAUUGGGGAAAGAUUUAUCGGAGAAGGAUCAGCCCGCGUUGGAUUAGGUAGUUGGUGGGGUAAUGGCCUACCAAGCCGACGAUCCAUAGCUGGUUUGAGAGGAUGAUCAGCCACACUGGGACUGAGACACGGCCCAGACUCCUACGGGAGGCAGCAGUGGGGAAUCUUAGACAAUGGGGGCAACCCUGAUCUAGCCAUGCCGCGUGAGUGAUGAAGGCCUUAGGGUUGUAAAGCUCUUUCAGCUGGGAAGAUAAUGACGGUACCAGCAGAAGAAGCCCCGGCUAACUCCGUG